GCUGGUGUGGCUCAAUGGCAGAGCAGCGGUAUCGUAAACCGCAGGUUGUGGGUUCGAUUCCCACCACCAGCUCCA
rnacentral:tRNA from 2 species